AUGCCCAUAGUUCAGUUGGUAGAGCAUGGGACUCCUAAUCUUAAGGUUGUAGGUUCGAGCACCAAGUUGGGUGAA